GUUCCUGUAGUGUAGUGGUUAUGACGUUUGCUUUACACGCAAUAGGUCUCUGGUUCAAAACCAGACAAAAACA
rnacentral:tRNA from 1 species